AUUAAAACAACGUUUGUUAACUUUUGCCAGUGCAUUAUGGGUGAUGAGGUAUAAGACAUGCAGAUUAAAGGUCAAUAAUGCAGUUUCUCAACUGGUAGAAAAAAAGUUGAUUUUUAAGAAAGUUGGCUGAUGGGAAUAGCCGUUAAACUCCGCCCACUUAAUAACGUUAAGCGUUUUGCGCGUUUCGUAAUAAUCACCGGUGCUUUUUCCCACAAAAACAUGUUAAAUAAU